rnacentral:rRNA from 1 species
ACUCCUACGGGAGGCAGCAGUGAGGAAUAUUGGUCAAUGGGCGGAAGCCUGAACCAGCCAAGUCGCGUGAGGGAAGACGGUCCUACGGAUUGUAAACCUCUUUUGUCGGGGAGCAAAGAGGCCACGCGUGGCAAGAUGAGCGUACCCGAAGAAAAAGCAUCGGCUAACUCCGUGCCAGCAGCCGCGGUAAUACGGAGGAUGCGA